UCUUAGCAACAAAUAGCUACAACGUGUGAUAAGGAAAUUUGGAAAGUACUUUUGACUGAGUGACUUCCAAUGUCCUGUGAGUUUUUUUAUUCCAAUUGAAAAAACGGACGUAGAUAAAAGAAUGAAAAAGAUUUGACGGUUGUUAGAGCAAAAGGAAUGUACAGGACACAGAGAAAUGUACAGGAGACAUGGGGAAUGUACAGGACACACAGAGAAAUGUACAUGAGACAUGGGGAAUGUACAGGACACACAGAGGAAUGUACAGGAGACAUGGGGAAUGUACAGGACACACAGAGGAAUGUACAGGAGACAUGUGGAAUGUACAGGACACACAGAGGAAUGUACAGGAGACAUGGGGAAUGUACAGGACACACAGAGAAAUGUACAGGAGACAUGGGGAAUGUACAGGACACAGAGAGGAAUGUACAGGAGACAUGGGGAAUGUACAGGACACUUGAAAGAAUGCCAAUAGUAAAUGUCAAUGUACGUUUGUGUUGUUUAAAAUAAUUUGCCUUGCAAUCAAUGCAUAGGAUUUUUUAACACAUCGUUACAUGCCAAAAUUGGGUACUUAUAUAAAAUUUUUAUUAUAAUAAUUAAGAUCUCUAAGAUACAUGGAUAUCCAAUCAAAAAAAACUACCUUUGAUAUCUUCAUCAUUAUUUUUUUCCACCAAUGAAGAGGCAAAAUGUACAUUUUGAUACAGCUCUGCUUCCACAUCACUGUCAAUGUUUUCAUCACUAAAAUUUGUCACCAAAAUAAAAAGUAAAUAGCUUAGAAAAAAAGGAGCUAUGGUAAAUGUCUUGGUUAUCACAUGAACAACAAAAAUAUUGAAACCCAGUCUUCCCUAUAUAGUGAAGAUAUUGUCACUGUACCUUGAAUGAAAUUAAUAAUAAAACAUUUCAUGUGUUUUGA